UACGUAGGGACCAAGCGUUGUUCGGAUUUACUGGGCGUAAAGGGCGUGUAGGCGGCAUGACAAGUCACUUGUGAAAUCUCUGGGCUUAACCCAGAACGGCCAAGUGAUACUGUCGCGCUAGAGUGCGGAAGGGGCAAUCGGAAUUCUUGGUGUAGCGGUGAAAUGCGUAGAUAUCGGGAGGAACACCGGUGGCGAAGGCGGUUCUCUGGGCCUGUACUGACGCUGAGGAGCGAAAGCGUGGGGAGCGAACAGG
rnacentral:rRNA from 1 species